rnacentral:rRNA from 1 species
GAUGAACGCUGGCGGCGUGCCUAAUACAUGCAAGUCGAGCGAACAGACGAGGAGCUUGCUCCUCUGACGUUAGCGGCGGACGGGUGAGUAACACGUGGAUAACCUACCUAUAAGACUGGGAUAACUUCGGGAAACCGGAGCUAAUACCGGAUAAUAUAUUGAACCGCAUGGUUCAAUAGUGAAAGACGGUUUUGCUGUCACUUAUAGAUGGAUCCGCGCCGCAUUAGCUAGUUGGUAAGGUAACGGCUUACCAAGGCAACGAUGCGUAGCCGACCUGAGAGGGUGAUCGGCCACACUGGAACUGAGACACGGUCCAGACUCCUACGGGAGGCAGCAGUAGGGAAUCUUCCGCAAUGGGCGACAGCCUGACGGAGCAACGCCGCGUGAGUGAUGAAGGUCUUCGGAUCGUAAAACUCUGUUAUUAGGGAAGAACAAAUGUGUAAGUAACUAUGCACGUCUUGACGGUACCUAAUCAGAAAGCCACGGCUAACUACGUG